CCUCGUUCCGAUGCUGCGGGGAAUGGUAAAGGUGAAUGGAUUGAGGAAGUUAGUCAGUGUUUGAAGUGUCGAGCUUCAGUGUUAACACGGAGAUGAUUGCUGACACCAUGGACCCUGUUUGCUUCAUUCUGGGUCUACUCUGUUUCACCAUCGGCAGUUCUCUCGGGAACAAUUAUCCAACCACCACGGGUGUGGAACCACACGCAAGAAAUCGCCGAGAAACUG